GAUGAACGCUGGCGGCGUGCCUAAUACAUGCAAGUCGAGCGAACGGACGAGAAGCUUGCUUCUCUGAUGUUAGCGGCGGACGGGUGAGUAACACGUGGAUAACCUACCUAUAAGACUGGGAUAACUUCGGGCAACCGGAGCUAAUACCGGAUGAUAUUUUGAACCGCAUGGUUCAAAAGUGAAAGACGGUCUUGCUGUCACUUAUAGAUGGAUCCGCGCUGCAUUAGCUAGUUGGUAAGGUAACGGCUUACCAAGGCAACGAUGCAUAGCCGACCUGAGAGGGUGAUCGGCCACACUGGAACUGAGACACGGUCCAGACUCCUACGGGAGGCAGCAGUAGGGAAUCUUCCGCAAUGGGCGAAAGCCUGACGGAGCAACGCCGCGUGAGUGAUGAAGGUCUUCGGAUCGUAAAACUCUGUUAUUAGGGAAGAACAUAUGUGUAAGUAACUGUGCACAUCUUGACGGUACCUAAUCAGAAAGCCACGGCUAACUACGUG
rnacentral:rRNA from 1 species